rnacentral:rRNA from 1 species
UUUCUGCCACCGAAUACAUUAGCAUGGGAUAAUGGAAUAGGACCCUGUCCUCCUAUUUUCAGUUGGUUUUGGCAGCGCGAGGACUAGGGUAAUGAUUAAUAGGGAUAGUUGGGGGCAUUAAUAUUUAAUUGUCAGAGGUGAAAUUCUUGGAUUUAUGAAAGAUUAACUUCUGCGAAAGCAUCUGCCAAGGAUGUUUUCAUUAAUCAAGAACGAAAGUUAGGGGAUCGAAGACGAUCAGAUACCGUCGUAGUCUUAACCAUAAACGAUGCCGACCAGCGAUUAGGAGACGUUGAAUACAAAACACCACCAUCGGCGCGGUCGUCCUUGGCGUGUCUCGGCUUCACGGCUGGGGCGCGCGAGGGCGGUUUAGCCCGGUGGCACCGGUGAAUGACUCCC